AUCCAUAGCGGGUGCGAGACCCGUACGUAUUGCCGGCUUUUCGUACGCGUUUAUCUCUUGGAGUAGGGUUGUUUGAGAUCGCAGCCCUAAGUAGGUGGUAUACUUCAUCUAAAGCUAAAUACGACUACGAAUCCGAUAGCAAACAAGUACCGUGAGGGAAAGUUGCAAAGUACUUUGAAGAGAGAGUUCAAGAGGACGUGAAACCGAUAGGAUGGAAGCAGAUGAAGUUGACGAACGUGUGUCGUAUUCAGAAUCGCUGUCAGCGGUUUGUUCUUACGACCGAUGUGGGCUGGCGGCUUUGGUCAAUGUAAUGUGUCUAGCGUCGAUGGAGACCCUGCGGAGGGAUAAUCGGUCGGCGUACGGUGCUUAGUAUGGCUAAGGUUUUGCCGGUCUUAAAGUCAGCGCCUCAUCUGACCCGUCUUGAAACACGGACCAAGGAGUGUAGCGUUUGCGCAAGUCUUAGAGUGUGUCGAAACUUUGAGGCGUAACGAAAGUAAAUGCAGUUUGAUCUGCUGACUUGGGAUACGUUGUCUCUUGUGGACGGCGUUGGACCAUGGUUUUAUCGCGAUCGCUUGCGAUGCGGUGAAAAUAGAGCGUAAACGGUGCGACCCG
rnacentral:rRNA from 1 species